UCCGGUAUGGUGUAUCGGCUAGCAUCCGUCGCUUUCAUGAGUCAAUCGUGUCAGCUUCCGACGAGAGCCGGGUUCGAUUCCCGGUACCGGAA